rnacentral:rRNA from 1 species
UACGUAGGCAGCGAGCGUUGUUCGGAGUUACUGGGCGUAAAGGGUGUGUAGGCGGUUUUCUAAGUUUGGUGUGAAAUCUCCCGGCUCAACCGGGAGGGUGCGCCGAAAACUGGGAGACUAGAGGGCGGGAUAGGAGAGUAGAAUUCCUGGUGUAGCGGUGAAAUGCGUAGAUAUCAGGAGGAAUACCGGUGGUGUAGACGGCUCUCUGGACCGCCACUGACGCUGAGACACGAAAGCGUGGGUAGCAAACAGG